GACGAACGCUGGCGGCGUGCCUAAUACAUGCAAGUAGAACGCUGAAGGAGGAGCUUGCUUCUCUGGAUGAGUUGCGAACGGGUGAGUAACGCGUAGGUAACCUGCCUGGUAGCGGGGGAUAACUAUUGGAAACGAUAGCUAAUACCGCAUAACAGUAGAUAUCGCAUGAUAUCUACUUGAAAGGUGCAAUUGCAUCACUACCAGAUGGACCUGCGUUGUAUUAGCUAGUUGGUGAGGUAACGGCUCACCAAGGCGACGAUACAUAGCCGACCUGAGAGGGGGAUCGGCCAAGCUGGGACUGAGACACGGCCCAGACUCCUACGGGAGGCAGCAGUAGGGAAUCUUCGGCAAUGGACGGAAGUCUGACCGAGCAACGCCGCGUGAGUGAAGAAGGUUUUCGGAUCGUAAAGCUCUGUUGUAAGAGAAGAACGAGUGUGAGAGUGGAAAGUUCACACUGUGACGGUAUCUUACCAGAAAGGGACGGCUAACUACGUG
rnacentral:rRNA from 1 species